GAUGCCGUCGUAUAGUGGUCUAUUACGGGGGUUUACUACUCAGACUGGCAUGCCCCUGCUCUUGAGCGCGUGGGUUCGAAUCCCACCGGCAUCU